AUACGUAGGUGGCAAGCGUUGUCCGGAUUUAUUGGGCGUAAAGCGAGCGCAGGCGGUUCUUUAAGUCUGAUGUGAAAGCCCCCGGCUCAACCGGGGAGGGUCAUUGGAAACUGGAGAACUUGAGUGCCGAAGAGGAGAGUGGAAUUCCAUGUGUAGCGGUGAAAUGCGUAGAUAUAUGGAGGAACACCAGUGGCGAAGGCGGCUCUCUGGUCUGUAACUGACGCUGAGGCUCGAAAGCGUGGGGAGCAAACAGGAUUAGAUACCCUGGUAGUCCACGCCGUAAACGAUGAGUGCUAAGUGUUGGAGGGUUUCCGCCCUUCAGUGCUGCAGCUAACGCAUUAAGCACUCCGCCCGGGGAGUACGGCCGCAAGGCUGAAACUCAAAUGAAUUGACGGGG
rnacentral:rRNA from 1 species